rnacentral:rRNA from 1 species
CUGGCGGCAGGCCUAACACAUGCAAGUCGAGCGGUAACAUUUCUAGCUUGCUAGAAGAUGACGAGCGGCGGACGGGUGAGUAAUGCUUGGGAACAUGCCUUGAGGUGGGGGACAACAGUUGGAAACGACUGCUAAUACCGCAUAAUGUCUACGGACCAAAGGGGGCUUCGGCUCUCGCCUUUAGAUUGGCCCAAGUGGGAUUAGCUAGUUGGUGAGGUAAUGGCUCACCAAGGCGACGAUCCCUAGCUGGUUUGAGAGGAUGAUCAGCCACACUGGGACUGAGACACGGCCCAGACUCCUACGGGAGGCAGCAGUGGGGAAUAUUGCACAAUGGGCGCAAGCCUGAUGCAGCCAUGCCGCGUGUGUGAAGAAGGCCUUCGGGUUGUAAAGCACUUUCAGUCAGGAGGAAAGGUUAGUAGUUAAUACCUGCUAGCUGUGACGUUACUGACAGAAGAAGCACCGGCUAACUCCGUGCCAGCAGCCGCGGUAAUACGGAGGGUGCGAGCGUUAAUCGGAAUUACUGGGCGUAAAGCGUACGCAGGCGGUUUGUUAAGCGAGAUGUGAAAGCCCCGGGCUCAACCUGGGAACUGCAUUUCGAACUGGCAAACUAAANUGUGAUAGAGGGUGGUAGAAUUUCAGGUGUAACCGGUGAAAUGCGUAGAGAUCUNAAGGAAUNCCCGAUGGCGAAGGCAGCCCACCUGGGUUCAACACUNGACNCUCAUUGUUACNAAAAANCGUGGGGGGAGCAAACNNGGAUUAAGAAUACCCCUNGGGUAGAUCCNCCCCCGUNAAAACCGAUUGUCUUACUUAG